CAGUAGCCGCGGUAAUACCGAGGGUGCGAGCGUUAAUCGGAUUUACUGGGCGUAAAGCGUGCGUAGGCGGCUGAUUAAGUCGGAUGUGAAAUCCCUGAGCUUAACUUAGGAAUUGCAUUCGAUACUGGUCAGCUAGGGUAUGGGAGAGGAUGGUAGAAUUCCAGGUGUAGCGGUGAAAUGCGUAGAGAUCUGGAGGAAUACCGAUGGCGAAGGCAGCCAUCUGGCCUAAUACUGACGCUGAGGUACGAAAGCAUGGGGAGCAAACAGGAUUAGAUACCCCAGUAGUCCCUGUCUCUUAUAA
rnacentral:rRNA from 1 species